rnacentral:rRNA from 1 species
UACGUAGGGGGCAAGCGUUGUCCGGAAUCAUUGGGCGUAAAGCGCGUGUAGGCGGUCCGGUAAGUCGGUUGUGAAAGUCCAGGGCUCAACCCUGGGAUGCCGACCGAUACUGUCGGACUAGAGUUCGGAAGAGGCGAGUGGAAUUCCCGGUGUAGCGGUGAAAUGCGCAGAUAUCGGGAGGAACACCAAUGGCGAAGGCAGCUCGCUGGGACGUUACUGACGCUGAGACGCGAAAGCGUGGGGAGCAAACGGG